UCUUUUCUCUCAUACACUCCUCUCUAUCACUUGCUCAUCCUCUCCCACCGGUACCUCCAUACCACCAUCUUCACCAUCAUUUUUCUGGUAAUGUCACCGGAAAAUCCUUAGGAACCUCUAAGCAUCUUCAUCUUUUAUUUGAGUUUUUCAGAUUUCUUAGCUAUACCUUGGGUAUGGAGCUUACUUCCUUGGUGAUGAUUAGAGUGCUAUCUUAAAUUUGGAGACCCUUGUUGUAAAUGGUUGGUGACUCGAUCUUGCUAUGUUCAACGAGACCUUAAUUAACUCUAUUGGAGGUUGGUUACUUGAGGUUUGUUAACCUUAGGCAUGGUAGGCAUAGACUUGAUAUUAAGAUUCCUUAUUCUUGAUAAGAUUGUGACUUUGUGUAAUCCAAGAGCUUUGUAAUAUAUAUUCAUGUAUUAUGUGGAGGCACAUGAUUUUUAGUUAU